UACGUAGGGUCCGAGCGUUGUCCGGAUUUACUGGGCGUAAAGAGCGCGCAGGCGGUCCGUUCAAGUCGCGUGUGAAAGCCCCCGGCUCAACUGGGGAGGGUCACGCGAUACUGAUCGACUGGAAGGCAGGAGAGGGUAGUGGAAUUCCCGGUGUAGUGGUGAAAUGCGUAGAUAUCGGGAGGAACACCAGUGGCGAAGGCGACUACCUGGCCUGUUCUUGACGCUGAGGCGCGAAAGCUAGGGGAGCAAACGGG
rnacentral:rRNA from 1 species